rnacentral:rRNA from 1 species
GGCCUAAUACAUGCAAGUCUAGGGGGCAGCAAUGUCACCGGCGCACGGGUGCGUAACACGUAUGCAACCUACCCGUCACAGGGGUACAGCCUUCCGAAAGGGAGAUUAAUACCGCAUAAUACUAUCGAUCUGCAUGGGUUGAUAUUUAAAGAUUUAUCGGUGACGGAUGGGCAUGCGCAUGAUUAGCUAGUUGGUGGGGUAACGGCCCACCAAGGCGAUGAUCAUUAGGGGAUCUGAGAGGAUUAUCCCCCACACUGGCACUGAGAUACGGGCCAGACUCCUACGGGAGGCAGCAGUAGGGAAUAUUGGGCAAUGGGCGCAAGCCUGACCCAGCCAUGCCGCGUGCAGGAAGAAGGCGUUAUGCGUUGGUGACUGC